rnacentral:rRNA from 1 species
AGUGAACGCUGGCGGCGUGCCUAAUACAUGCAAGUCGAACGGAGUGGCGCACGGGUGAGUAAUAUAUAGCUAAUCUGCCACUUGCUGGAGGAUAACAGUUAGAAAUGACUGCUAAUACUCCAUAGCAAGGUAUGAGACUAUAUCGUAUCCGCUCGUUGGUGGGGUAACGGCCUACCGAGGCUAUGACGCGUAACAGGUCUGAGAGGAUAAUCAGUCACAUUGGAACGGAGACACGGUCCAAACGCCUACGGGAGGCAGCAGUAGGGAAUAUUGAGAAAUGGGGGAAACCCUGACGCAGCAACGCCGCGUGGAGGAUGACACUUGUCGGAGCGUAAACUCCUUUUGUUAGGGAAGCGGUACCUAACGAAUAAGCACCGGCUAACUCCGUGCCAGCAGCCGCGGUAAUAC